rnacentral:rRNA from 1 species
UACGAAGGGGGCUAGCGUUGUUCGGAAUUACUGGGCGUAAAGCGCGCGUAGGCGGUGAUCUUUGUCAGAGGUGAAAUCCCGAGGCUCAACUUCGGAAUUGCCUUUGAAACGGGAUUGCUUGAGUCCGAGAGAGGAUGGCGGAAUUCCUAGUGUAGAGGUGAAAUUCGUAGAUAUUAGGAAGAACACCGGUGGCGAAGGCGGCCAUCUGGCCUCGGUACUGACGCUCAGGCGCGAAAGCGUGGGGAGCAAACAGGG